UAGCAUGUAGUGAAAGUAGCCAGAACUGCAUUCAAGGUUUUCACCUUUUGAUUCCCUGUUUGCCUCUGACAAGAAAUACAUGGAAGCUGACUUUUCCACUACCCCAUUGCAGCCAGUACUGCAGCUUGUGUAUGGAAGAGGGAGAUGCUGUUCCUUUGCAGGAGAUGCACAGAUGAUCAAGAGGGACAAGAGACACAGGAGACUGGCUUAAGGGUAUUCAGAUCACAAAGCUUUUUGAUGAAGAGAACAUGCAGCUGGCUGUUCCAGAAAAAUAAACACCACUUGUAAAUAUCUAGCCCUCUUGCCAUCUCUGAAGAAUUUCUGCCAGCUGAUUUGCAGUUUCCCUCUACACAGUUAUGAAGACUAAUGUGAGAAGAUUUUUAGUUUUGCUGUGAGAAUUCAUCUACUUCUGCCCCUCUUUCCUCAUCUGAAGUCAGUGAAGUGACGGUUCAGAUUUUUCUGAUUACUUAAUCCAAAACUGCAUCCUACUUUCAGCUAGUGCCGAGGUGAUCCAGCAGGCAAGAGCUUACUAUCAGCCAUGGGAAUUUACAAGCUUUCCAACAAGACUGAAGAAGUCCAGGAAACCACAAUGACAGAUCCACUUGAAACAACCAUUUCAUACCUUGGAAAAUGGUAAUGGGAGGAAGUGAUCUCCUGAUCUCCAGCUGUGGUUCUGUGUGCUGCUCUGAUCCCACCGAUGACUGGAUUUGAGAGUUAAGCACGGCUGGUCCUGCCUCUGCCCUGUGUCGGAUUUCACCCUUCUGCCCUUGCUCUGAAGAUUGAAAUAUCUGAGGAGGACACUUCUGCUCUCAGGCAGAGUUUUCACUGGGUUUGUGCUUCCCAUGCCUCUGUGAAAGUGCUGAAAACUCUACAGAUGGCUUUGAAAGCGGUCUGUGCUAUUCAGUGAAGCAUGUUGAGCAUACUAAAGGUUAACCUCAGGAAUAAAUCUGUUGCUGAAUAAGGGAGAUGAUCUGAACCACAGCCAAAACUUUGUGAUUUGCAAAUCCACCCUUUACCUGAGUCUUAAAUUAUUUCUGUGUGCUGGGAAUUCUUUUCUGGAAGAUGGAGAAGAACCACAUUUUCUGCCUUGGUGACCCAGCAGCCUUUUAAACAAAACAAUGGAAAGAGCCCAUCCUAGACUCCCUACAGGCAGCGGUCUUUGCUUCUUGAAGUUGUUUUCUGUGUGAGCAGUGAGACUGAAGAUUAUUUGUGACCUUCCAUAAAGACCAGGAAACAGUCUGUGGUUGGAAAUAUCAAUGUCAAACAGGUUCAAACUGAAGUU